rnacentral:lncRNA from 1 species
GGCAGCGGGGGCCGCUGUCCAUGGUGUUGAAACAGAGCCCCAAACCCCAGUCUCAUCUUGCCCGGCCUCGCCUCUGGACUUUUUUCACCCCACUCCCAUCUUCUCCCUAGAAGGGUUGGGGCAUACUUCUGCCCUCCUCCUUUGAUUUCCUGGAUGAGAAGUGGUCGGAUCUGACUUCCAGCUCCCUGCAGCUUGUCUGCAUUCUAUGGGGGAGGGCUCCUCAGGUUUAUGGAUCCAAAAUCUUCCUUCAGAUUCCCCUUUGUACCAGACUGGCUCCACCCAGAGCCAAGAGAGGAUCACCAGCCUUCUGAGGCCUGCUCUUUUCUCUGGCUGAGCACUUCCAUUCUGACUCCCCUCAGAUCUCUCCCCAGGCAGGUAAGGUGGGGGUGUGUGCCCCAUGCCUUGGAUCAGAUCAGCUUUCUGUGCAACCCCAAAACAGCCUACAGUAUUUGCUCUUGGGAUCCCGAGCACCCACCCACGGAGCCUAAGGCUCACCCCUUCUUCCAUUCCCAGGUACCCGUGGCCCCCAGCUCUGGCCCGCAGGAGGAAGGGUCGCCUUGGGCAAGGGGUGGGUGCUGGAUGAGAAAAGACUUCCUGCCCUGCCCGUCCUCCUGCGUCAGCCUGGUGGGGACCUUCUUGGUGGCCCUGAAGCCCCUGAAGGUUCUGUAGAAGUCAACUCACGGCUGCUAGACCCCCGCUGGGUCCUUUUGGCUCCUCAGGUGCCGGCCGGCCUCACCGCACCCCAGCCCAGCCAUACCCGAACCGUCUCUGCGCCGCUGCCCACGCUGCCGCUUCCGCCCAGCACACCGAGAAUUUGGGUUUGUGGAUUCGUUUAUUUGCCAGCUCCACGGAUCGGGGCAGGGGCUCCUGGCUCCCAGCGGAGGGCGCGAGGAGAUGCGUGGCCGAUUGCUCAGUGCUCCGGGUUCCGAGCUACUGCCUCCAUGCGCACAAAAGCAACUUGGAGGCCCCAGGUGUUCCAAGGGCACCUAGUUUCCACCAGGACUGGGUGAGGAGCAAGGAGAAAGCAGAUGACCAAAAUUGGGCCUAUGGGGAGUCCCAGAAUGUGGCCCAUCAGAGGUCUGGCAGCCUCAGGACAGGAGCCUCUGGGGCUGGAAGCCUGACAGCCAAGGCGCAGAAAAUUGGUCAGCCCCCUGGCUGCAGCAGGACAGCAAAUGGGGGAGCGACAGAGUACCCAGCUCAGGUAGGGCUCAGGUUGGGGCCCAGGGAGGGCUCAGGUAGAGCAUUCGUGGAGGCUGUGCCUGUUUUCUCUUUGAACUGGGCACAGGAAGGCUUAUCUGACCACACUGGCAGGGUCUGUGAGUUUCUCUUGCUGAGAGAACUGAAGCUAAGAUGCUGCAGUGACCCCUGGGGCCUGUGGCUGGUCAGGGAGCUCAGCACACAGGCCCAUAUGCCCAAGCAUCCUCUCCCGGGUGUGGUUGGUCCUGAGUGCCCAGAGACCUUUUCCUCCAUCUCGGUGGCAGGCAAGCUGGUAUGUGGCUUCCCCUCCACCUGUCUCCUCUGGAUGCCACCUGCAUCCUUGAGCUGCCCUUUAGUCAGUGUGGGUGGGUUCCUGCCCACCUCCAUGCCAGGCACCCACCUCCACCCUGGCCCAGGUUGGAGGUUGGGCAGGAUGGGGAGAAGCAGAGUGUGCAGGCUGGUGGUGGGUCAACCCAGUGCUCAGAGCCCACGGGGCAGUGAGCAGGACUCAGCACCAUGCGCUUGA